UCUUCGGGUGAGAGUGGCAGACGGGUGAGUAACACGUGGGAACAUACCCUUCGGUUCGAAACAACGCCGGGAAACUGGCGCUAAUACCGGAUACGCCCUUUUGGGGAAAGGCUCGCUGCCGAAGGAUUGGCCCGCGUUCGAUUAGCUUGUUGGUGAGGUAACGGCUCACCAAGGCGACGAUCGAUAGCUGGUCUGAGAGGAUGGCCAGCCACAUUGGGACUGAGACACGGCCCAA
rnacentral:rRNA from 1 species